AGAGAAUCGCUUGAACCCGGGAGGCAGAGGUUGCAGUGAGCCAAGAUCACGUCACUGUACUCCAGCCUGGGUGACAGAU
rnacentral:snRNA from 1 species